GACGAACGCUGGCGGCGUGCUUAACACAUGCAAGUCGAACGGAAAGGCCCUGCUUUUGUGGGGUGCUCGAGUGGCGAACGGGUGAGUAACACGUGAGUAACCUGCCCUUGACUUUGGUAUAACUUCAGGAAACUGGGGCUAAUACCGGAUAGGAGCUCCUGCUGCAUGGUGGGGGUUGGAAAGUUUCGGCGGUUGGGGAUGUACUCGCGGCUUAUCAGCUUGUUGGUGGGGUAGUGGCUUACCAAGGCUUUGACGGGUAGCCGGCCUGAGAGGGUGACCGGCCAAAUGGGGACUGAGAUACGGCCCAGACUCCUACGGGAGGCAGCAGUGGGGAAUAUUGCACAAUGGGCGGAAGCCUGAUGCAGCAACACCGCGUGCGGGAUGACGGCCUUCGGGCUGUAAACCGCUUUCGCCUGUGACGAAGCGUGAGUGACGGUAAUGGGUAAAGAAGCACCGGCUAACUACGUG
rnacentral:rRNA from 1 species